rnacentral:misc_RNA from 1 species
UCGCUUCAGCAACCUGUUCUUCGUAUAAUUUCACUUGGUCUUCAAGAAUCUUCAAUUUGUCAAUCAGGAAUUUUGCCUCAGACUCCUUGUUGGUGAAGUUUGCUAUUGCUUCUUGAAGUUUGAGUUCCGAAUCCCUUGCCAGAGAUUCUUGUAAUGAUUCAAGCUCAGACUUUCUAGCGGUAGCCUGCUCUAGUAAUUUUUCUUGUUGCUCUAGUUGUUCCUCAGCAGACAUGAGCUUUGCCAUUACAUCGCUUUCUUUUAGUCCAGCAGCCUUUAGAUCAUUUUCAAUGCNNNCAACUUCUCCUGCAUCACAGUUAAUUCAUUUCGUAGGACUUCCACAAGAUUCUCAGCUUCAGCCAGCUUCUGGCUGGAAUUGCUUGAUGCAUCUUCUAACUUUUUCUUUUCAUCUGUUACUGAAUUCAGGCAUUCCAUCAGCUCUUUCUCCUUUUCGUUGGCUGUUUGCAGUGCAAUUUCAAGGCUUGAUGCCCUUGCUUGGAAUGCUUCAAGCUCAGCUGAAAGUUCAGAUACUUUAUGGAAGUAUUUGUUGGACUCUGCUUCUGCAGCCACACAUUUCUUUUCUAAUGUGCUAAUCUGCUCUUCAAGUUCCUGAAUUCUGAAUUUCUCUGCUUCAAGUAACAACUCCAAAUCAUUUACCUUUUUGCUGGCAUCCUCUACUUUGGAAUGAGACAUUUGGAACAGGUCUUCAAGCUCAAGGCUGCGUUGAUGAUUCAUGUUUGCUCGGUCCUCAUGUUCAGCACACUUCUCUGUAGCAAUCCUCAACUCAGCCUCAAGCUCUGCAUUCCUUGAUGAUGACUGAUUUAGGGAAGCUUCAAGGUGGGUUAUCUUCUCCUGGUAUUCCUGCAUCUGGUGACUCAAAAUUUUCUUUUCUUCCUCCAAUUCUUUCAGUGCAGCACUGAGUUCAGUUAUUUUCAGUGAGAAUUCCCUCACUUCUCUCUCAGCAUCACUGCUUUUUAAUUCCGUUAAAUUCAAUUGUUGCUCAAGAUCCACGUUACUCUGCUCUGCUGCAAUAAAGCGUGUCUCAAGCUCUCUCAGUUGGGAAUUUGCAUUUUCUGCUGCUUCAUGUGAAGCUCGGAGUGAAUCUUCAAGCUCCAGAUUCUUUAGAGUAGCAGAUGCUGCAGCAGCUCCAGAUUCAUUGUGAAGCUCUUCCAGAGACUUCAAUUUUUNNNNUGCAUUGUUUGACAAAGCUUGACAAAAGGAAAUCCGCUUUAGAGAAAUUCUCUUCUGAAAC